AUUGAACGCUGGCGGCAGGCCUAACACAUGCAAGUCGAGCGCGCGGCGGACGGGUGAGUAAUGUAUGGGGAUCUGCCUUAUGGCGGGGGAUAACUACUGGAAACUGUAGCUAAUACCGCAUACCAUCCGAUGGUCCCAUAUGGGAUUAGCUUGUAGGUGGGGUAACGGCUCACCUAGGCGACGAGCCCUAGCUGGUCUGAGAGGAUGAGCAGCAACACUGGAACUGAGACACGGCCCAGACUCCUACGGGAGGCAGCAGUGGGGAAGAUUGCACAAUGGGUGAAAGCCUGAUGCAGCCAUGCCGCGUGUAUGAAGAAGGCCUUCGGGUUGUAAAGUACUUUCAGUGGGGAGGCGUUACCGACAGAAGAAGCAACGGCUAACUCCGUGCCAGCAGCCGCGGUAAUAC
rnacentral:rRNA from 1 species